UGGCCUUGACAUAGAAAGAAUUUAGCAGAGAUGUAAAAGUGCUAGUUUACUAGAGCUUUCAUACAGGUGCUGCACGGCUGUCGUCAGCUCGUGUCGUGAGAUGUUAGGUUAAGUCCUGCAACGAGCGCAACCCUCGUGUUUAGUUACUAACAGAUUAUGCUGAGGACUCUAGACAUACUGCCUGGGCAACCGGAGGAAGGUGGGGACGACGUCAAGUCAUCAUGGCCCUUAUGGCCAGGGCUACACACGUGCUACAAUGGGGUAUACAAAGAGCAGCAAUACGGUGACGUGGAGCGAAUCUCAAAAAUGCCUCCCAGUUCGGAUUGUAGUCUGCAACUCGACUACAUGAAGUUGGAAUCGCUAGUAAUCGUAGAUCAGCUAUGCUACGGUGAAUACGUUCCCGGGUCU
rnacentral:rRNA from 1 species